AAGCAGCCGCCGGCGGAGCGGGGGUCAUUGAUGUUGACUUAUACGAGGUUAUCUCGCUGCUUU
rnacentral:tRNA from 1 species